rnacentral:misc_RNA from 1 species
GCAAAGUUGACGAGGAUGACUAUGAUGAAUCUGGAGUCUCUUGUAGUUAUGAACUGGAUCAGUUCUGGGUGCCCCCAGAACCAGAAUGUUGUGAUGAUGAUAUGGAAGACAGUGUGGCUAAUUGUGAUGAUGAUGAGUGCGGCGAUGGCUGGGGCAAGCCAACUUCUUUAAUCAGCCUCGGAGAUGAAGGUUCUGGGAGCUACAAGUUUAAAGAGGAAAAGAGGAAGGCAUUGGAAGAAGUGAUGAAUGGGAAGCUUAAGGCCCUUGUUUAUGACCUUAUUAAGUCUUUUGGUGUUGCCUCAUCUGGGGGUGACGAUUGGGUUGAUA